rnacentral:rRNA from 1 species
GCAAUCAAUAGCACGUUGAAUGCGUCAGUUCCCGAUCACUGAAGUUAAGCAACGUUGAAGUUAAGGUUAGUAUCUGGACGGGUGACUCUCCUGGCGACCAAGUUUUGUUGGCU